AGUGAACGCUGGCGGCGUGCUUAACACAUGCAAGUCGAACGAGAACGGAAUAUAGCUUGCUAUAUUUGUCAGCUAAGUGGCGCACGGGUGAGUAAUGUAUAGAUAACCUGCCCUUAAGAAAGGAAUAACAGUUGGAAACGACUGCUAAUGCCCUAUAUGCCUUUAAUACAUAAGUAUGCAAGGGAAACGCUUUAGUGCUUAAGGAUGGGUCUGUAUGGUAUCAGCUUGUUGGUGAGGUAAUGGCUCACCAAGGCUAUGACGCCUAACUGGUUUGAGAGGAUGAGCAGUCACACUGGAACUGAGACACGGUCCGGACUCCUACGGGAGGCAGCAGUGGGGAAUAUUGCACAAUGGACGAAAGUCUGAUGCAGCAACGCCGCGUGGAGGAUGACACAUUUCGGUGCGUAAACUCCUUUUAUAUAGGAAGAUAAUGACGGUACUAUAUGAAUAAGCACCGGCUAACUCCGUGCCAGCAGCCGCCGUAACAC
rnacentral:rRNA from 1 species